rnacentral:rRNA from 1 species
GUGAAAUCUUGGUGGGAUGCGGUUCUCUCUGAUAAUACACUCCCGACGAAGGCCCUAUCUUCCCUGUUACUUCUUGUGGGAUGGCAGAUAUGGAAUGAAAGGAAUGCUCGUGUCUUCAGGAGCAAAGCGGCGCCGGUGGCGAUUGUCAUGCGAGGCAUCAAAGAGGAAGUUUCGGUUUGGGCCAACGCAGGUGCUAAGCAUUUGCGUAAUGUAAUGCCGCGAGAGUAA